rnacentral:rRNA from 1 species
GUGCCGAAACCGUGCCGCCGAGAGAAGGGGAUGGAGAGCAGGAGGAGGAAGACAAGAAGGACUAGGGGUUUGGAACAUAGAGGUAACCACAACGAACAUUAGUUUCGAACAUAGGUUAUCUAUAACUCUCUCUCUAGACCAAGGAAUGUGGCACGUUUGUAGUCUCUCCAGCUCGCGCUCGUCGUCGCCUACCUCACCCGGUUCGCGCUCGUCGUCGUCUGCUUCCAGCGCCCAGUCCCCAUACCCCCUCCUCCAGGGAGCGCAAGAACGAGGCCGCCUUCGGGCGCCGGGUACCUAAGGCCGCCCUUUAACUGGUGUACGCGCCACCCUCCACCACCACCUCACCGCCUACUGCUCCGAGCGGCGGCUCGAUCUGUCAUACCGCGACACGAGUCGCCUCCGACGGCACGCGCCCGUGCCGCCCCCACACCGCCGCGCCGCCCACGUCGUCCAGCAUCACCGGUUCCACUCGGCUGACGAGCACCCCAGGCAACCACACGCCACACGGGACAAAGGCGACAGUUACGCGAGCAGGCGAGACUGCCUGAACUCGAAGAGGACGUUGAGGUAUUCGAGCACCGCGCAGGAGCUGGACCGUCGGCCGCCUAUACCUCAGGGACAUACGUUCAUAUACGUCCCCCCACUUAAUGUAACACAUCAACGAGUCUGUAGGUUCCGUUUAGUAUUAAAACCUACGUAUAAAACAAGACGUUAUCACGAAAAAACGACUUCUAGAAUGUGUUCAGACUUAUUAUGUGAAAAACAACAUGUUCCAUAUAUUGACUUAAAGGGCGCACAAUAUAUUCGCACACCAACUGAUGUAUUCACGUACUAGGGGCAUCACAAUUAAAUCCACGUCUACUACCGUCUAAGCUCAGAUUUUG